GCCUAGCCUUAAAACAACAAUUAAAUCAUCAAUUGUUCGCCCAAUAACUACGAGUAAAAACUUAAAAUUUAAAAGACUUGACGGUACUUCACAACAACCUAGAGGAGCCUGUCCAAUAACCGAUACCCCACGAUUAACCCUACCUGCCCUAGCCAUAACAGUCUAUAUACCGCCGUCGCCAGCUUACCUUAUGAAAGAAACAAAGUGAGCCCAACAACAACACAUUAACACGACAGGUCGAGGUGUAACUAAUGAGCAGGCCAAAGAUGGGCUACAUUUUCCUAAACAGAAAAUACGAAUCAACUAUGAAAUUAGAAACUGAAGGUGGAUUUAGCAGUAAGCUAACAAUAAAAUACUUAGCUAAAACUAUAGCAAUGAAGUGCGUACACACCGCCCGUCAUCCCUGUAAAACACUUAAACAUAUACAUAAUUCUACUCAUCCCAAAACAGGGCAAGUCGUAACACGGUAAGCGUACUGGAAAGUGCGCUUAGAAA
rnacentral:rRNA from 1 species